rnacentral:rRNA from 1 species
GACGAACGCUGGCGGCGUGCUUAACACAUGCAAGUCGAGCGGUAAGGCCCUUUUGGGGGUACACGAGCGGCGAACGGGUGAGUAACACGUGGGUGACCUGCCCUCAGCUCUGGGAUAAGCCUGGGAAACUGGGUCUAAUACUGGAUAUGACCUUUCCUCGCAGUGGGGUUGGGUGGAAAGUUUUUCGGCUGGGGAUGGGCCCGCGGCCUAUCAGCUUGUUGGUGGGGUGAUGGCCUACCAAGGCGACGACGGGUAGCCGGCCUGAGAGGGCGACCGGCCACACUGGGACUGAGACACGGCCCAGACUCCUACGGGAGGCAGCAGUGGGAAUAUUGCGCAAUGGGCGGAAGCCUGACGCAGCGACGCCGCGUGGGGAUGAC